rnacentral:rRNA from 1 species
CAAUAGCGUAUAUUAAAGUUGUUGCAGUUAAAAAGCUCGUAGUUGGAUUUCUGGUUGAAGCGACCGGUCGGGCGUUGAUUCGUCUGCACUGGAGUCGGUUUUGGCCAUCCUCUAGGAAAGUGCGUCUGGUAUUAAGUUAUCGGGCGUAUGAUCCUGGUCUUUUACUGUGAAAAAAUUAGAGUGUUUAAAGCAGGCCUUCGCCUUGAAUACAUUAGCAUGGAAUAAUAAGAUAGGACUUUGGUCUAUUUUGUUGGUUUGCAGACCGAAGUAAUGAUUAAUAGGGAUAGUUGGGGGUAUUUAUAUUCCGAUGUCAGAGGUGAAAUUCUUAGAUUUUCGGAAGAUAAACUUAUGCGAAAGCAUUUACCAAGGAUGUUUUCAUUG